rfam:Jatropha curcas cultivar GZQX0401 scaffold392_64, whole genome shotgun sequence.
GGGCUGUGAAGACAAUUGUGCUCAGUAACAGAUGGGGUCUGUUGCGAUCAUCUGAACCUGAGGAUGAUAAAACGCACAGCUGAGCUG